CGCACAUUGCGCCCUUUGGUAUUCCGAAGGGCAUGCCCGUUCGAGCGUCAUUACACCAAUCAAGCCCGGCUUGGUAUUGGGCCCCGGGGCGACCCGGACCCCAAAAGCGUCGGCUGGAAACCCAUCAAUCUCAGCGUCGUGGCAACCAAUUCGCUGGCGAGAGGGGGGUUUCGCGCCGUUAACUUUCAUUUAAGGUUGACCUCGGAUCGGGUAGGGAUACCCGCUGAACUUAA
rnacentral:misc_RNA from 1 species